CACACCGCCCGUCACGUCAUGAAAGUUGGAGACGCCUGAAGUCGGUCAGUGAACCUUUAUGGACACAGCCGCCGAGGGUGGGCCAGCGAUUGGGACG
rnacentral:rRNA from 1 species